rnacentral:rRNA from 1 species
CCUAGUGGCUACAGUGAGGAAUAUUGGUCAAUGGACGCAAGUCUGAACCAGCCAUGCCGCGUGAAGGAAGAAGGCUUUCGGGUUGUAAACUUCUUUUCUCAGGGACGAAGAAAGUGACGGUACCUGAGGAAUAAGCCACGGCUAACUACGUUCCAGCAGCCGCGGUAAUACGUAGGUGGCAAGCGUUAUCCGGAUUUAUUGGGUGUAAAGGGCGUGUAGGCGGGAGCGCAAGUCAGAUGUGAAAACUCAGGGCUCAACCCUGAGCCUGCAUUUGAAACUGUGUUUCUUGAGUGCUGGAGAGGCAAUCGGAAUUCCGUGUGUAGCGGUGAAAUGCGUAGAUAUACGGAGGAACACCAGUGGCGAAGGCGGAUUGCUGGACAGUAACUGACGCUGAGGCGCGAAAGCGUGGGGAGCAAACAGGAUUAGAUACCCGUGUAGUC